GUGAAGGCAGAUUUUCACUUUUUUUUUCUAAAAACACCAGGCAAUUAACUGUGGCAUUUAUGACAAGGCAAAGAGGAGGGCCAAGAAGGCGGAAUGUGAGUCGGCCGUGGACACCACGGAGCUGUCGGCGGUGCUGCUGCGGGUGCAGCUGGAGGUGUGGCAGCACAACAGGGACGUCAUGCAUGAGCUGCACCAGCUGAGGCAUGAAGCACGGGUCGU